rnacentral:pre_miRNA from 1 species
UCGUAUUACAUGUUUUGUGCGUGAAUCUAAUUCAACAGGCUUAUGUUUGAGAUUUUUUAACAAAUCCGGAUUUUGCUGUUGGAUUAGAUUCACGCACAAACUCGUAAUCUGUCU